rnacentral:tRNA from 1 species
UUUAGCUCAGUUGGUAGAGUGCUCCAUUUGAAAUGGAGAGGUUCCUGGUUCGAUGCCAGGAA